AGAGUUUGAUCCUGGCUCAGGAUGAAUGCUGGCGGCGUGGAUAAGUCAUGCAAGUCAAGGGGGCCCGCAAGGGCAACCGGCAAACGAGGUAGUAACACGUAGGUACGUCCCCCGAAGUCGGGCAUAGCCAUCCGAAAGGAUGGGUAAUUCCCGAUAGUCCCGCAAGGGUAAAGGUUUUUCGCUUCGGGAGCGGCCUGCGUAGUAUCAGCUAGUUGGUAGGGUAAUGGCCUACCAAGGCUACGACGCUUAGGGGAGCUGAGAGGCUGACCCCCACCGAUGGAACUGCGACACGGUCCAUACUCCUACGGGAGGCUGCAGACGAGAAUAUUCCGCAAUGGACGAAAGUCUGACGGAGCGACGCCGCGUGCUGGAUGAAGUGCCUUGGUACGUAAACAGCUUUUAUCGGGGACGAAGUUUAUUGACGGUACCCGAUGAAUAAGGGGCUCCUAACUCUGUGCCAGCAGGAGCGGUAAUACAGAGGCCCCAAGCAUUAUCCGGGAUCACUGGGCGUAAAGGGUGUCUAGGCGGCCAUAUUAGUCUCUCGUUAAAUCCGCGGGCUCAACCUGCGGUCUGCGAGGGAAACGGUAUGGCUCGAGGGCGUAAGAGGUGCAUGGAACUCAUGGUGGAGGGGUGAAAUCCGUUGAUAUCAUGGGGAACACCAAAGGCGAAGGCAAUGCACUGGUACGUUCCUGACGCUCAAACACGAAAGCCAGGGUAGCGAAUGGGAUUAGAUACCCCAGUAGUCCUGGCCCUCAACGUUGCUCGCUCGCUUUACGGAGUAUCGACCCUCUGUGAGGCUAAGCUAACGCGGUAAGCGAGCCGCCUGGGUAGUACGAUCGCAAGAUUAAAACUCAAAGGAAUUGACGG
rnacentral:rRNA from 1 species